rnacentral:lncRNA from 1 species
CUCAGAGGAAGGGAGACAACUGAGCUUCCCAUGAGACAAAUUCACUGAGCUCCAAACAGCAGGCGACUGGGCAAGUCUACCAAAGGAUUUCCCCUUGUAUUCUGGCCUGGGGUGCUGUCCAGGUCAGCAGGUCUCUCUCUCUCCACAGUUGGAACACAGAUCCAGACAACGUCUCCUAGAGACAGCCCAGGAGAGUGAAAAGAGCAGAGGCUGUGUGUUUUCUCACAACUCCACCAGCUCGGUGAACUUGGGCAAGUCACUUGACCUCUGUGGGACUCAAUAACACGGUCUAUAAAACAUGACAACAUUGUCAACCCAGAAAGCAAUCAAUAAAGUGUGCAUCCUCAGGCAUCCAGCCAUCUGACCAUGACCACAGGUUGACAGACACUGUCCUAUAAAGCUCUGGUUGCCCCAAAAAGGAGGUUGGACUAAAUUGAAUCUUCUGAUUCCAAUUUUAUGAACUGCAAUAAAAUCUCUCUAGGGUGCAGGAUUACAUCUGUGUUGAAGAAUGACUACAUUAAGACAAUUAUCAGACGCUCUUUAUGCUUCCAAAUUGGAGGCACUUUAUCUAUGCUGACACUAGGGUGGAGCUUAGAAAGAAAACCAGCAGGAAAGUCAAGUGCACUUGAUGAAAAACCGCCCACAGCUCCGAGUUUCACAGGUCGGUGGAGCCCCCGCAGCUCUGCCGGACCAACAAGCUCUCCGCCGACGUUGUAGGCACACAAGUUCACAACACGUUAAGAAAUGAGACUUUCUCAUUAUGAGGCAGUCUACUCAACUGAGUUAUCAGAGGAUUGAAAUAAAAGGAUUUCAGUCAUCCUUUCUUGAAAAAUC